CAGUCGCCACGGUAAUACGGAGGGUGCAAGCGUUAAUCGGAAUUACUGGGCGUAAAGCGCACGCAGGCGGUCUGACAAGUCAGAUGUGAAAUCCCCGGGCUUAACCUGGGAACUGCAUUUGAAACUGUCAGGCUGGAGUCUUGUAGAGGGGGGUGGAAUUCCAGGUGUAGCGGUGAAAUGCGUAGAGAUCUGGAGGAAUACCGGUGGCGAAGGCGGCCCCCUGGACAAAGACUGACGCUCAGGUGCGAAAGCGUGGGGAGCAAACAGGAUUAGAGACCCCUGUAUCCCUGUCUCUUAUACA
rnacentral:rRNA from 1 species